rnacentral:misc_RNA from 1 species
CAACCCUCAACGCCCCCUGUGGACUUGGUGUUGGGGACCGGCGACAAUCACCUGUCGCCGCCCCCUAAAUGAAUUGGCGGCCCCGUCGCGGCCCUCCUCUGCGUAGUAGCAUACACCUCGCAACAGGAGCCCGUCGGUGGCCACUGACCGUAAAACACCCCUAAACUUUUUUUAGAG